AGAUCCCCAAAAGCAGCUCAAUGGCGGCUAAGGCGUGCAUGGAAGAAUGGCCGCGUAGCAAAACAGAGAUACAUGAGGUGAACCACUAGACAUCUCAAAAACACCCUUGGUCUGAGGUAUAUCAAUUGCCCAUUGUUGAGAUUCUGUCGCCAUGUUCUCAAACAAUUGAUACGCUUGCAGUGCAUUUUUGUCUGAAUACGUUCCUCCACAAGAAGCAUUAACAAGAGUCUUAGUAGUCAAAUUCAGCCCUCUGUAAAAUAAAUUCAUUUGAGUGUCACCAUUAAUGCCUGAAUGUGGACAUUUCCUGAGUAGAUCCUUGUAACGUUCCCAUGCUUCAUGAAUUGCUUCAUUAGGUUUCUGAGCA